rnacentral:rRNA from 1 species
AUCAUGGCUCAGAACGAACGCUGGCGGCGUGGAUAAGACAUGCAAGUCGAACGGGAUUUUAUUUGUAGCAAUACCGAUAAAAUCUAGUGGCGGACGGGUGCGUAACACGUGAGCAAUCUGCCGGGAAGUGGGGGAUAACUCGUCGAAAGGCGAAUUAAUACCGCAUAUGGCCAGGGAGGACAUCCUCCUGAAGCCAAAGUCGCAAGACGCUUCCUGAUGAGCUCGCGGCCUAUCAGCUAGUUGGUGAGGUAACGGCUCACCAAGGCUAUGACGGGUAGCUGGUCUGAGAGGACGACCAGCCACACUGGAACUGAGACACGGUCCAGACACCUACGGGUGGCAGCAGUCGAGAAUUUUUCACAAUGGGGGAAACCCUGAUGGAGCGACGCCGCGUGGAGGAUGAAGGUCUUCGGAUUGUAAACUCCUGUCAAAUGGGAACAAGAAAGUGAUAGUACCAUUAGAGGAAGAGACGGCUAACUCUGUGCCAGCAGCCGCGGUAAUACAGAGGUCUCAAGCGUUGUUCGGAUUCAUUGGGCGUAAAGGGUGCGCAGGCUGCGGGGUAAGUCGGAUGUGAAAUUUAGGGGCUCAACCUCUAAACUGCAUUCGAUACUGCUCUGCUAGAGGACUGUAGAGGAGAUUGGAAUUCACGGUGUAGCAGUGAAAUGCGUAGAUAUCGUGAGGAAGACCAGUGGCGAAAGGCGAAUCUCUGGGCAGGUCCUGACGCUCAUGCACGAAGGCCAGGGGAGCAAACGGGAUUAGAUACCCCGGUAGUCCUGGCAGUAAACGGUGCACGUUUGGUGUGGGAGGAUUCGACCCCUUCCGUGUCGGAGCUAACGCGUUAACGUGCCGCCUGGGAAGUAC